rnacentral:rRNA from 1 species
UACAGAGGUCCCAAGCGUUGUUCGGAUUCAUUGGGCGUAAAGGGUGCGUAGGUGGCGCCGUAAGUCGGGUGUGAAAUUUCGGAGCUUAACUCCGAAACUGCAUUCGAUACUGCGGUGCUUGAGGACUGGAGAGGAGACUGGAAUUUACGGUGUAGCGGUGAAAUGCGUAGAUAUCGUAAGGAAGACCAGUGGCGAAGGCGGGUCUCUGGACAGUUCCUGACGCUGAGGCACGAAGGCCAGGGGAGCAAACGGGG